GGAGCUUCCACCGGUCUUUUCGGGUUCUCAUUGGCUCCACCCCGGGUAGAUGCUGCCGCCGGCCCAGAGGCAGAGAGAGAGAGCCGGCUAGGCAGCGAACAGGCGUUGGCGUUCGCUUCGUUAGGUAGGGAGGGGAGGAGAGGCCGCCGCUGUCUCGCUAGAGGCCGGUGCUCUCCGCUCGCCCUGAUCCCAAGCCGCGCGGCGGCGGCGGUUCCUUUCGGCGCCUCUGGGCGUGGCCUGCGGAGCAUAGAGGCCGGUGGAAGAGUUUCCAGAACUUUGUACCACCGGUACAGUUGCGAACGGCGACCUAGCAACGGCCCUUGACACCAGGGGUUACCAGAAAAUUGUUCCUCCAAAGUUCCAAGUGUUAAAGUCUUUUGAGUUCAAUUGGUGUAGAGUAAACUUGCCCUUCAAAGAUGAUUUCGUUGUGACUCCUCACAUUUUACGUCACGAGUUUGGGUUUCACAAGUCGCGUUUAGAAGUUGGCGCUGACAGUUUGCUAGACUGGGGUUUCCUUUCCAAGUUCCUGGAUUCAACCUGCUACCUUCGCCACCCAAGGGAGGCAAGGCAAAGCCGUUUCCUCCGCCGCCUCCACCUCCGCCACCCCCACCAUUGUCGAUGAAACCGCCCAAGGAGGAGAAGUGAUAGCACGACGAGGACCUGAUGGAGUUCCUCAAACUCUUCAUGGACGAGCGAGCUUUCGUAGCACGGCCUCUGCUGCUACUGCGCCCGAUGCUGUGCUCGCCACCCUACGAUCCUGUUAGUGGUACUACUCAGAACAAUCGUCAUCAGCAGAGAUCGAUGAUCUUCACGUAGUCAGUCAAUUGACCGAAACCAAUACAAUGUAUAGGAAUAGAACCUUUUAAGUACGGAUACGUCUCGAGUUUUAUAAAUAUCCUAACACACCACUCUACGAAUUUGAACUACGGUAGACCGACAACACGGCUUCAUACUUCUUUAAGGUAGAUACAUGUUGUUUACAAAACGAUGAUCUUUAAAGGUACAGACCUAAUCCCGGUUCAGACCUAUAAUGACAGCUCACCGAUGGCUUCUAGUACGUGUAAUAAAGAAGAGAGAACGGCAACGUAAACCGUAACGCUACCUAAGAACAUUAGGACAAACAAGGAUAAAAUCAAAACAC
rnacentral:rRNA from 1 species